rnacentral:rRNA from 1 species
CAGUCGCCGCGGUAAUACAGAGGGUGCGAGCGUUAAUCGGAUUUACUGGGCGUAAAGCGUGCGUAGGCGGCUUUUUAAGUCGGAUGUGAAAUCCCUGAGCUUAACUUAGGAAUUGCAUUCGAUACUGGGAAGCUAGAGUAUGGGAGAGGAUGGUAGAAUUCCAGGUGUAGCGGUGAAAUGCGUAGAGAUCUGGAGGAAUACCGAUGGCGAAGGCAGCCAUCUGGCCUAAUACUGACGCUGAGGUACGAAAGCAUGGGGAGCAAACAGGAUUAGAUACCCCAGUAGUUCCUGUCUCUUAUAC